rnacentral:piRNA from 1 species
UAGCAAUGAAGUUAUUCAACAGUGAUGUCU